GAUGAACGCUGGCGGCGUGCCUAAUACAUGCAAGUCGAGCGAACGGACGAGAAGCUUGCUUUUCUGAUGUUAGCGGCGGACGGGUGAGUAACACGUGGAUAACCUACCUAUAAGACUGGGAUAACUUCGGGAAACCGGAGCUAAUACCGGAUAAUAUUUUGAACCGCAUGGUUCAAAAGUGAAAGACGGUCUUGCUGUCACUUAUAGAUGGAUCCGCGCUGCAUUAGCUAGUUGGUAAGGUAACGGCUUACCAAGGCAACGAUGCAUAGCCGACCUGAGAGGGUGAUCGGCCACACUGGAACUGAGACACGGUCCAGACUCCUACGGGAGGCAGCAGUAGGGAAUCUUCCGCAAUGGGCGAAAGCCUGACGGAGCAACGCCGCGUGAGUGAUGAAGGUCUUCGGAUCGUAAAACUCUGUUAUUAGGGAAGAACAUAUGUGUAAGUAACUGUGCACAUCUUGACGGUACCUAAUCAGAAAGCCACGGCUAACUACGUGCCAGCAGCCGCGGUAAUACGUAGGUGGCAAGCGUUAUCCGGAAUUUAUGGGCGUAAAGCGCGCGUAGGCGGUUUUUUAGUCUGAUGUGAAAGCCCACGGCUCAACCGUGGAGGGUCAUUGGAAACUGGAAAACUUGAGUGCAGAAGAGGAAAGUGGAAUUCCAUGUGUAGCGGUGAAAUGCGCAGAGAUGUGGAGGAACACCAGUGGCGAAGGCGACUUUCUGGUCUGUAACUGACGCUGAUGUGCGAAAGCGUGGGGAUCAAACAGGAUUAGAUACCCUGGUAGUCCACGCCGUAAACGAUGAGUGCUAAGUGUUAGGGGGUUUCCGCCCCUUAGUGCUGCAGCUAACGCAUUAAGCACUCCGCCUGGGGAGUACGACCGCAAGGUUGAAACUCAAAGGAAUUGACGGGGGCCCGCACAAGCGGUGGAGCAUGUGGUUUAAUUCGAAGCAACGCGAAGAACCUUACCAAAUCUUGACAUCCUUUGACAACUCUAGAGAUAGAGCCUUCCCCUUCGGGGGACAAAGUGACAGGUGGUGCAUGGUUGUCGUCAGCUCGUGUCGUGAGAUGUUGGGUUAAGUCCCGCAACGAGCGCAACCCUUAAGCUUAGUUGCCAUCAUUAAGUUGGGCACUCUAAGUUGACUGCCGGUGACAAACCGGAGGAAGGUGGGGAUGACGUCAAAUCAUCAUGCCCCUUAUGAUUUGGGCUACACACGUGCUACAAUGGACAAUACAAAGGGCAGCGAAACCGCGAGGUCAAGCAAAUCCCAUAAAGUUGUUCUCAGUUCGGAUUGUAGUCUGCAACUCGACUACAUGAAGCUGGAAUCGCUAGUAAUCGUAGAUCAGCAUGCUACGGUGAAUACGUUCCCGGGUCU
rnacentral:rRNA from 1 species